CCUACGGGAGGCAGCAGUGGGGGAUAUUGCACAAUGGGGGAAACCCUGAUGCAGCGACGCCGCGUGGGUGAAGAAGCGCCUCGGCGCGUAAAGCCCUGUCAGCAGGGAAGAAAAUGACGGUACCUGAAGAAGAAGCCCCGGCUAACUACGUGCCAGCAGCCGCGGUUAUACGUCGGGGGCAAGCGUUAUCCGGAUUUACUGGGCGUAAAGGGGGCGCAGACGGCGAUGCAAGCCAGGAGGGAAAGGCCGGGGGCCAACCCCGGGACAGCUGUUGGAACUGGGUGGCGAGAGUGCAGGAGGGGCAGGCGGAAUUCCUGGUGUAGCGGUGAAAUGCGUAGAUAUCAGGAGGAACACCGGUGGCGAAGGCGGCCUGCUGGACUGCAACUGACGUUGAGGCCCGAAAGCGUGGGGAGCAAACAGGAUUAGAUACCCGGGUAGUC
rnacentral:rRNA from 1 species